rnacentral:lncRNA from 1 species
GGGGCCCCCCCCCCCCCCCCCCCGGACCCUGCCCCUCUGUGCCCCGCUGCUCGCAGCUUGCAGGGAGCCUGACCGUGCGUGGCGUGGCGCCUUGCACAACUCCUUGCACAACUCCUCGGGCUGCACCUUGCACAAUGCAUCGCGCUGCAGGGCCUCUGCGUGGCACUUCGCAUUGCAGCGGCGCUUUGCAGAGCGCCUUGCACAGCACCUUGCACGGCAGGGCCUUUGCACGGAGCCUUGCAUGGCACCUUGCACAGCACCGGCGUCUUGCACAGCACCUUGCACAGCAGGGCCUUUGCACGGAGCCUUGUAUGGCACCUUGCACAGCACCGGCAUCUUGCACAGCACCUUGCGCAGCAGGGCCUUUGCACGGCACCUUGUAUGGCACCUUGCACAGCACCUUGCUCAGCGCUGGCAUCUUGCACAGCACCUUGCACAGCACCGGCAUCUUGCAGACACCUUGCACAGCAGAGCCUUUGCACAGUGCCUUGCACAGCACCUUGAACAGGGCCUUUGCACGGUGCCUUGCACGGCAACUUGCUCAGCACUGGCACCUUGCACAGCACCGGCAUCUUGCAGACACCUUGCACAGCAGGGCCUUUGCACAACACCUCGCACAACGCCUUGAACGGGGCCUUUGCACAGUGCCUCGUACUGCAGAGCACUUCACAGAGCACCUUGCAGAGCACCUUGCACAGCAGGGCCUUUGCGUGGCACUUGCACAACACCUUGCACGGCCCUGACACCUUGCACAGCCCUGGCACCUUGCACAGCACCGGCACCUUGCACAGCCCUGGCACCUUGCACAGCACCGACACCUUGCACAGCACCAGCACCUUGCACAGCACCGGCACCUUGCACAGCACCGACACCUUGCACAGCACCAGCACCUUGCACAGCGUUUUGCACAGCGGGGCCUUUGCACAGCGCCUCGCACAACUCCCUGAACAACGGGGCUGUUGCGUGGCACCUGCCGUAGCAGGGUGUUUGCACAACCCCUUGCACAGCACCUUGCACGGCACCGGCACUUGGCAGAGCACCUUGCACAGUGGCAGCACCUUGCAUGGCACGGCCUUUGCACAGCACCUUGCACCGACACCUUGCACAGCGGCAGCACCUCGCGCAGCACCUUGCACAGCAGCUUACCUGGCACAGGGCCUUUGCACGGCACCUUGCGCCAACACCUUGCACAGCUCCUUGCACAGCACCAGCACCUUGCACUGCACCUUGCGCGGCUGGAUGGGGAUGAGGGGGGCCUGUUGGAGCCCCCCG